CGCAGAACAAGAAGUUCAGGAUUCUGAGCCCACUCCUUUUACUCUUGGGGCCGGCCCCACUUCCUCUGGGGGCCCAGGCAUCCCUCUGGCAAGUCUUCAGCUAAGAAAUCUGCAGAAGUCAUUGGCCAGACUUAGAACUAAUCCUUUGUGCCAAAAGGGUUGGUGGAAGGGGAGGGAGCUUUGCCAGAACCAGGAUGUUCCCUGCUCGUGGUGAACCCUGCUGCCUCCCAGCCAUCCCACUGCUUUUCUUUGGGAAGUGAGGGAAAUGCGAUUGAGGGGCCAGUGUAAUUCGGCAACACGUUUAAUCGCUGUUCCAGUGACUUCUACAUUAAUGAGAGAGGCAAGAUGAAGGAUCCCUUACCAGGUGGAAAAAGAGGCUUUCUGAGUAGAGAAAGAGAUCACAAGUAGGCAGAGAGGCAGACAGAGGUGGAAGCAGGCUCUCCGUGGAGCGAAGAGCCCGAAGCGGGGCUCAAUCCCAGGACCCUGAGAUCAUGACCUGAACCAAAGGCGGAGGCUCAACCCACUGAGCCACCCAGUGCAGGCUCGUCCUCACUCGGCCCUUCCUCAUCAGUGUUGGCUUUCAGCUCGCCCGCCCGACAUCCUGUGGACGCUGCAGUUCAGACAAACAGCAAGAUCAUCAAAGAGAAGAGCAUGAAUGAAAAACUGCUUUAUGACAUGCCUUCAAAGUGUCUUUUUAGAAGUUCAAAGGAUGCGGAGAGGAGGCAGGGGAAUCAAAGACGAUGGGGGAGAGCAAUGAACUCUCCAAGGGAUCAUUGGGGUUUCAUUGUAUAUUUUCUAUGACGCUUGUGAUGUAAAAAUCAAAAGUAAUCUCAGCCCUCAAGGGCUCUGUGUGUGUGUACAUCUGAUGCAAAGGAGAAGACUCACCUUGCUGAUGGAAGGCUUUACCCUGGCAUUCUCAGUCACACGCUUGCAUCUGCAUUUCCUGUUUGGACCUUGAUCGAAUAUUUUGAUCUGGGAAGACUGGGUCCAGAGACGGAGAUUGAAUGCUGCUUAUGUGGUUCGAUGGAGAUGAAUAAUUUAGUCCGUGCAGAAGUUCCCCAUUACCUUUUCCAUUACCUUUCCAUUACUCUAAACAAGCUAGAGUCCACUUGUAGCAGUGGCUAUGCAGAGCUCAGAAAAGAUCUGGCAUAGAUGAUAAGAUCCCAGAGGCCUCUGAUCUGACAGAGAGAACUGAGAUUCUACUUGAGUUUGGAUCCAGACCUAAUUGAUAUACUCAUGGGAACGCCACUGAUACUUGGACACUUUAGAAUGCCUUAUGCCCAAUCCAUCCAGACAGAAUGCUUAGGCAACUAACUAGUACCUGGCACAUGGUGGGUGCUUAGGUGAAAUGAAUGAAUGACGGAACAGCUGAGCAGCUUUGUUUUAUAACCCUAGAGUAGAUUCUUUUAUGGGAAUGUUUCCUAUUGUCCUUGGGCCAUUGAUGCCCAGAAUACAAGGAUAGUCUUAAGGAUCUGAAUUGCUCUGUUAGUCAAGUCUGUAAGGGAUUUCAUCUGCAAGGGACAGAUACCUCAACUCAAACUGGACUGAGAUAGAAGGAACUUUGUUGAUUAAAAUUAUUGAAAACUCAAGGGUCACUUGGGAAGCAUCUGCCUUUGACUCGGGUCAUGAUCCUAGGGUCCUGGGAUUGAGCCCCACAUUGGGCUCCUUGCUCAGUAGGGAGCCUGCUUCUUUUCCCUCUGCCCCCUACCCCUACUAGUGCUCUCUUCUCUCUCUUGCUCUACCCUGCUCUCUCUCUCUCUCAAAUAAAUAAAUAAAAUCUUUUAAAAAAGUAAAAUUAUUGAAAACUCUAAAGUAGAUUUGACUUCUGGCUUGACUGAUAAAAUAGAUAAAUGUGUCCCUGUCAAAUUCAUACAUGAUGACACCUCUCACAAGCAGUAUAUAUGGUAUUAGGAGGUGGGCCCUUUGGGAAGUGAUUGGGUUAUGAGGGUGGAGCUCUCCUGAAUGGGGUUACAGCUAAAACCAAAGAGGCCCCAAGGAGCGUCCUUGUCCCUUCUGCCCUCUGACAUCAUAGAGAGAAGAUGGGUGUCAGUAGACCAGAAAACCCUUACCAGACAUUGAAUUUGCCAGCACCUUGAUCCUGGACUUCCCAGCCUUCAGAACUGUGAGAUACGAAUUUCUAUUGCUUACGUGCCGCUCAGUCUAUGAUGUUUUUGUUACAGUAGUGAGAAUGGACUAAGAUAGGUAAUUCAAGGGCUCUGACAGUGUCUCCAGGAUUCCAUUUUAAUUUGUCCAUCUCUCAGCUCUGUGUUGUGUGUAUUCUCUGUUUAUGGGCAGACUCUCCCAUAGGGUGCUGGAGCACAGAAAAUAUUAUUUUGCAGUUAAAAAAUAUAGUCUCCAGAAGCAGACUUGAUUCAAAUCCCUAGUCCAUCACUUUACUAGAUGUGCAAACUUAGAUUAGUUUAAAGUCUCUGUGCUUUGUUUUCCUUGUCCUUACACUGGAGAUUAUGGUGGUGAUAGUCAUAGAUAAAACUUGCAGAACACUUGCUACAUGCCUGGUGUUCUUCUAAAGACUGUACAUUGAUAAAUUGACUAAUCUGUACAACAACCUAUGAGGGAGGUACUAUUAUUAGCCUCAUUACAUGGAUGAGGAAACUGUGGUAUAGAAAGUUUAGACAACUUGCCUGUUACACAACUAGUACAUGAUGUAGCCAGAAUUCAAAUGCGGUCCUAUCAACCUCCAAGCUGUGCCACCUCAUAUAAUAGAACUGGGGUUGAUGUAGGAGUUGAAUGAGAUAAUAAUAUA